GACGGGGGGGGCAAGUGUUCUUCGGAAUUACUGGGCGUAAAGCGCACGUAGGCGGAUAUUUAAGUCAGGGGUGAAAUCCCAGAGCUCAACUCUGGAACUGCCUUUGAUACUGGGUAUCUUGAGUAUGGAAGAGGUAAGUGGAAUUGCGAGUGUAGAGGUGAAAUUCGUAGAUAUUCGCAGGAACACCAGUGGCGAAGGCGGCUUACUGGUCCAUAACUGACGC
rnacentral:rRNA from 1 species